UAUGUGUCAGGCGGCGUUGGCAUGCACUUCUCUCUCAGUAGGACGUCGCGACCCGUUUGGUGUCGAUCUACGACCGCGGCGGUAGCCUGUCACGAAUUUAUUCGCGCCAGACCCCGCGUGCUCCGGUCCGAAGCUGCCAGACGGUAUAAAUGAUAUGGUAUAGGGUCGCUUUUAAGCGUUCGGGCGGUUGGCAAAGCACGGACGGUUAUUGGACCGUGGACCUACAUCGGCAUCGAUGCCGCCUCGAGCUGUUAGCACCGUGUUCUCGAAAGGACUCUAUUACCGGUCAGCGAUGCUACUAUUGCGUUUGGGUACUUUUCAGGACCGUCUUGAAACACGGACCAUGAGUCUAGCAUGUGCGCGAGUCAUUGGAAAUACAAAACCUAAAGGCGCAAUGAACGUAAGGUUUGCUUACGUAAACUGAGGGAUGACGGACCGCAUCUACGAAUGCGUGCCUGCAAUCCCGAGGCGGGUCUCACUCUCAUUGCGAGAAGAGACGCACUCAGAGCGUACACGCUAGGACCGAAAGAUGGUGAACUAUGCCCGGUCAGGUCGAAGUCAGGAAAAACCCUGAUGGAGAACCGUAGCGAUUCUGACGUGCAAAUCGAUCGUCGGAACUGGGUAUAGGGGCGAAAGACUAAUCGAACCGUCUAGUAGCUGGUUCCCUCCGAAGUUUUCCCUCAGAUAGCUGGCAUUCGAGGCGAGUUCUCAUCCGGUAAAGCGAAUGAUUAGAGGCCUUGUGGCCGAAACGACCUCAACCUAUUCUCAAACUUUAAUGGGUGAGAGCUCUGGCUUGCUUGAAUAGUGAAGCCAGAGAUUUGGAUCAGAGUGCCUAGUGGGCCAUUUUGGUAAGCAGAACUGGCGCUGUGGGAUGAACCAAACGCCGAGUUAAAAGCGCCUAAACGACGCUAAUGGGAUACCAUGAAAGGCGUUGGUUGCUUAGACAGCAGGACGGUGGCCAUGGAAGUUGGAAUCCGCUAAGGAGUGUGUAACAACCACUCUGCCGAAGCAAAACCAGCCCUGAAAAUGGAUGGCGCUGAAGCGCGUGCCUAUACUCGGCCGCCAAGGCAUGAGAAACGUUCAUAAUAGUUCGUUUUGACGCCCUGGUGAGGAGGUGUCGCGGUGGUGUGCGCAGAAGGUUUGGGCGUAAGCCUGCCUGGAGCCGCCAUCGGUGGCAGAUCUUGGUGGUAGUAGCAAAUACUCCAGCGAGGCCCUGGAGGACUGACGUGGAGAAGGGUUUCGUGUGAACAGCCGUUGCACACGAGUCAGUCGAUCCUAAGCCCUCAGGAGAGAAUCCUAUGUUGAUGUCGGUUAUUUUAUUUGAAUAAAAUUUCACACCCAUCGGGCGAUAGGGAAUCCGGUUCCUAUUCCGGAACCCGGCAGCGGAACCGUUUACAAUCGGGCCCUCGCAAGAGAGUUUGUCGGGGUAGAGUUUUCUUUUCUGUAUGAGCGUUCGAGUUCCCGGAAUCCUCUAGAAGGGAGAUAGGGUUUGGAACGCAAAGAGCACCGCUGUUGCGGCGGUGUCCGUUCUUCCCCUCGGACCUUGAAAAUCCAAGAGAGGGCCACGGUAGGUGUCGCGCCGGUUCGUACCCAUAUCCGCAGCAGGUCUCCAAGGUGAAGGGCCUCUAGUCGAUAGAUAAAUGUAGGUAGGGAAGUCGGCAAAUUGGAUCCGUAACUUCGGGAUAAGGAUUGGCUCUGAGGAUCGGGGCGUGCCGGGCUUGGUUGGGAAGCGGGCGUAGGCGAUGUGCCGGGCCUGGGCAAGGUGAAAUUGUCCUUGUGACUUAGAUGCGAGCUCGGUCCCGUGUCUAGGCCCCCGCGGAUCUUCUUGCUGCGAGGUUUUCUUGCCGGCUUCGGUCGGUCAGUCGUACUCUUCGGCCGCCAUUCAACUGUCAGCUCAGAAACUGGCACGGACUAGGGAAUUCGACUGUCUAAUUAAAACAAAGCAUUGCGAUGGCCCUAGCGGGUGUUGACGCAAUGUGAUUUCUGCCCAGUGCUCUGAAUGUCAACGUGAAGAAAUUCAAGCAAGCGCGGUAAACGGCAGGAGUAACUAUGACUCUCUUAAGCAUUCCCCUCCUAGCCAAAAAAAAAAUAAAAAAAAUAGCCAAUGCCUCGUCAUCUAACUAGUGACGCGCAUAAUGGAUUAACGAGAUUCCCACUGUCCCUAUCUACUUUCUAGCGAACCACUGCCAAGGGAACGGGCUUGGAAAAUUACGGGGAAAGAAGACCCUGUUGAGCUUGACUCUAGUCUGGCAUUGUAAGGAGACAUGAAAAGGUGUACAUAAGUGGGAGAUAGUAAUAUCGUCGGUUGAAAUACCACUACUUUCAUCGUUUCUUACUUACUCGAUUGGGCGGAAAGCGUGCGUCGAAAACUUGCGUUCCGACUGUCACGGUUUUCUAGAGCCAAGCGCAUAAGAGUGGUGUAAGCCAUCGCGCCGAUCGCCAACAAUACUCUAGCGUGAUCCGAUUCGAGGAAACUGCUAGGCGGAUAGUUUGACUGGGGCGGUACAUCUGUCAAAUAAUAACGCCGGUGUCCUAAGGCCAGCUCAGCGAGGACAGAAACCUCGCGUAGAGCAAAAGGGCAAAUGCUGGCUUGAUCCCGUUGCUCAGUGUGCACAGGGACUGCGAAAGCAUGGCGUAUCGAUCCUUUUGGCUUGAAGUUUUCAGCAAGAGGUGUCAGAAAGUUACCACAGGGAUAACUGGCUUGUGGCAGCCAGCGUUCAUAGCGACGUUGCUUUUUGAUCUUUCGAUGUCGGCUCUUCCUAUCAUUGCGAAGCA
rnacentral:rRNA from 1 species